GACCUUCCAAUUCUUACCACAGGCUGUGUUCUUUACACAGACUGUAUAGAAAGAGGAGGUACAGUAAAUGUAUCAGUACUGUUAAUAAUGAUUUGUUUUUAAAUCUUUACUGUCUUGACAGUGAAACCAAAA